rnacentral:rRNA from 1 species
AUGCUGGUUGUUCAGACCGUACAAGUUGCAACAGAGAUACUAGAUUCAGAGAUUAGUUUGUUUGUUGUUGGUGCUUUCCUGUUUGGGCGUAAACAAAGGUUUCCCUGGACUCCAUACACUGCAAAGUUUUUGGUGUUUCACAGGACCAACUCAGCUCCUGGUUAUUUCUCAGUCUCUGACAGGAGAAGAUUUUGCUACCUUGUUCUGCUUGAUGUGUUUAGAGUUCUGCGCUAUGAACUGAUGCUAGCUACUGGUAUUCAACCUAGACUCUCUGAGUGUCAGCAUGUCGAUUGGUUUCAUGAUGUUUUUCUCAGUGUAUGCAACACAUAUACUCCUGAACCCACACUCGCCAAAUUCCAGGCCUUUAAAAAAUGCGACUGCGAGCAUCUUAUAUCAACCGGGGCUUGUAAUCUAUUCAUGGACAAAGGAUGCCUCAAGUGUGACAUGGGUCAUGAAGAAAGCGAUUCAAUAGUACUGCAAACUUCAAGGAUUUAG